AUCAGCGCAGAUGGUACUGCCACUAUGGUGGGAGAGUAUGUCACCGCCUUUC
rnacentral:rRNA from 1 species